UACGUAGGGUGCAAGCGUUGCCCGGAUUUAUUGGGCGUAAAGGGCGCGUAGGCGGCCACCGCAAGUCGACUGUGAAAUCUCCGGGCUUAACCCGGAAAGGUCAGCCGAUACUGCGGGGCUAGAGUGCAGAGGGGGCAACUGGAAUUCUCGGUGUAGCGGUGAAAUGCGUAGAUAUCGAGAGGAACACCUGCGGCGAAGGCGGGUUGCUGGGCUGACACUGACGCUGAGGCGCGAAAGCUAGGGGAGCGAACGGG
rnacentral:rRNA from 1 species